rnacentral:rRNA from 1 species
UUGGAGGGCAAGUCUGGUGCCAGCAGCCGCGGUAAUUCCAGCUCCAAUAGCGUAUAUUAAAGUUGUUGCAGUUAAAAAGCUCGUAGUUGAAUUUCGGGAUUGACACAUCGGUCGUGCCUUAAGGGGUAUGAACUGGUGUAGUCAAUUUCUCACCUUCUGGAGAACCGCGAUGCCCUUAAUUGGGUGUCACGGGGAACCAGGACCUUUACUUUGAAAAAAUUAGAGUGUUUAAAGCAGGCAUUUUGCUUGAAUACAUUAGCAUGGAAUAAUAAAAUAGGACGGCAUGAUUCUAUUUUGUUGGUUUCUAGGAUCACCGUAAUGAUUAAUAGGGAUAGUUGGGGGCAUUAGUAUUCAAUUGUCAGAGGUGAAAUUCUUGGAUUUAUUGAAGACUAACUACUGCGAAAGCAUUUGCCAAGGAUGUUUUCAUUAAUCAUGAACGAAAGUUAGGGGAUCGAAGACGAUCAGAUACCGUCGUAGUCUUAACCAUAAACUAUGCCGACUAGGAAUCAGACGAUGUUAAUUUUUUAAUGACUCGUUUGGCACCUUACGGGAAACCAAAGUGUUUGGGUUC